UUGGGAUAACUUCAGGAAACUGGGGCUAAUACCGGAUAGGAGCUCCUGCUGCAUGGUGGGGGUUGGAAAGUUUCGGCGGUUGGGGAUGGACUCGCGGCUUAUCAGCUUGUUGGUGGGGUAGUGGCUUACCAAGGCUUUGACGGGUAGCCGGCCUGAGAGGGUGACCGGCCACAUUGGGACUGAGAUACGGCCCAG
rnacentral:rRNA from 1 species